rnacentral:rRNA from 1 species
UACGGGGGGGGCAAGCGUUGCUCGGAAUCACUGGGCGUAAAGCGCACGUAGGCGGAUUGCUAAGUCAGGGGUGAAAUCCUGGAGCUCAACUCCAGAACUGCCUUUGAUACUGGCGAUCUCGAGUCCGGGAGAGGUGAGUGGAACUGCGAGUGUAGAGGUGAAAAUUCGUAGAUAUUCGCAAGAACACCAGUGGCGAAGGCGGCUCACUGGCCCGGUACUGACGCUGAGGUGCGAAAGCGUGGGGAGCAAACAGG